rnacentral:lncRNA from 1 species
GAGGGUUAGCAACGUAAGUGGUUAAUUUUUUAUUUUUCUUGAAUAUAAUUUAUCAUUUAGUGUUAAAAAAAUUGUUUUCUCCAUCGAUUCUUUGGUUGCGGUCUACCCUCCCUACUGGGAUUACUUGUAGGAGAGGAAAAGAAGGCGGUCGGGAGUAUUUACGAUAUCCAAAGAUAAUUAGGGAUUUUGUAAAUCUACUAUUUCGUCUCCCUUCAUUUCAUUCUCAUUUGUGCAGACCAAGGACGGAUGCGGAUAUUUUUCAUGGGUUGAAAAAGACGAUAUUUUUCAUGAGUUUACAAAAAUGAAGUUCUAAUACUGCAGGCUGCAAAAAACUUUAAUGUCAAGGAUUGAUAUGUUGGAAAAGAUGUUGUUACCCAAUGACAGGACCUUCGGUAGAAUUCGAAACUGUGGCCUGAACACAAAGCUAGACUUGAAAGGAUGGAGCAAACGACAUAGACAGAUACGCUUCGUAUUAGGGGAAGGGAGACCAGAGCUUUUCAAAUCUCUUACAAUUGAAUGGAAUUAUAAUACUCAAGAUUGAUUCCU